UGAGGAAUAUUGGUCAAUGGACGCAAGUCUGAACCAGCCAAGUAGCGUGCAGGAUGACGGCCCUAUGGGUUGUAAACUGCUUUUAUAUGGGGAUAAAGUGGGGAACGUGUUCCCUUUUGCAGGUACCAGAUGAAUAAGGACCGGCUAAUUCCGUGCCAGCAGCCGCGGUAAUACGGAAGGUUCGGGCGUUAUCCGGAUUUAUUGGGUUUAAAGGGAGCGUAGGCCGUUUGGUAAGCGUGUUGUGAAAUGUAGGAGCUCAACUUCUAGAUUGCAGCGCGAACUGGCAGACUUGAGUGCGCACAACGUAGGCGGAAUUCAUGGUGUAGCGGUGAAAUGCUUAGAUAUCAUGACGAACUCCGAUUGCGAAGGCAGCUUACGGGAGCGCAACUGACGCUAAAGCUCGAAGGUGCGGGUAUCGAACAGG
rnacentral:rRNA from 1 species